rnacentral:rRNA from 1 species
AACGAACGCUGGCGGCAUGCCUAACACAUGCAAGUCGAACGAGACCUCCGGGUCUAGUGGCGCAUGGGUGCGUAACGCGUGGGAACCUGCCCUUAGGCUCGGAAUAACUCCUCGUAAGGGGUGCUAAUACCGGAUAAUGUCUUCGGACAAAAGAUUUAUCGCCUUUGGAUGGGCCGGCGUUGGUUUCGCUGGUUGGUAGUGUAAAAGCCUACCAAGGCGUCGAUACAUAGCUGGUAAGAGAGGAACGUCAGCCACACUGGGAGUAGGAAGCGGCGCAGAAUACUAGAGGAGGGAGGAAUGGGGAAUAUUGGAAAAUGGGGGGAGGCCUGAUCCAGCACUGCCGCGUGAGUGAUGAAGGCCUUAAAGAUGAAAAGCUGUUUUACCCGGGAUGAUAAUGACAGUACCGAAAGAAUAAGCACCGGCUAACUCCGUG